CAGGCUUAACACAUGCAAGUCGAGGGGCAGCAUUUUAGUUUGCUUGCAAACUGAAGAUGGCGACCGGCGCACGGGUGAGUAACACGUAUCCAACCUGCCGAUAACUCCGGGAUAGCCUUUCGAAAGAAAGAUUAAUACCGGAUAGCAUACGAAUAUCGCAUGAUAUUUUUAUUAAAGAAUUUCGGUUAUCGAUGGGGAUGCGUUCCAUUAGUUUGUUGGCGGGGUAACGGCCCACCAAGACUACGAUGGAUAGGGGUUCUGAGAGGAAGGUCCCCCACAUUGGAACUGAGACACGGUCCAAACUCCUACGGGAGGCAGCAGUGAGGAAUAUUGGUCAAUGGGCGAGAGCCUGAACCAGCCAAGUAGCGUGAAGGAUGAAGGCUCUAUGGGUCGUAAACUUCUUUUAUAUGGGAAUAAAGUUUUCCACGUGUGGAAUUUUGUAUGUACCAUAUGAAUAAGGAUCGGCUAACUCCGUGCCAGCAGCCGCGGUAAUACGGAGGAUCCGAGCGUUAUCCGGAUUUAUUGGGUUUAAAGGGAGCGUAGGUGGAUUGUUAAGUCAGUUGUGAAAGUUUGCGGCUCAACCGUAAAAUUGCAGUUGAAACUGGCAGUCUUGAGUACAGUAGAGGUGGGCGGAAUUCGUGGUGUAGCGGUGAAAUGCUUAGAUAUCACGAAGAACUCCGAUUGCGAAGGCAGCUCACUAGACUGUCACUGACACUGAUGCUCGAAAGUGUGGGUAUCAAACAGGAUUAGAUACCCUGGUAGUCCACACAGUAAACGAUGAAUACUCGCUGUUUGCGAUAUACAGUAAGCGGCCAAGCGAAAGCAUUAAGUAUUCCACCUGGGGAGUACGCCGGCAACGGUGAAACUCAAAGGAAUUGACGGGGGCCCGCACAAGCGGAGGAACAUGUGGUUUAAUUCGAUGAUACGCGAGGAACCUUACCCGGGCUUAAAUUGCAACAGAAUAUAUUGGAAACAGUAUAGCCGUAAGGCUGUUGUGAAGGUGCUGCAUGGUUGUCGUCAGCUCGUGCCGUGAGGUGUCGGCUUAAGUGCCAUAACGAGCGCAACCCUUAUCUUUAGUUACUAACAGGUUAUGCUGAGGACUCUAGAGAGACUGCCGUCGUAAGAUGUGAGGAAGGUGGGGAUGACGUCAAAUCAGCACGGCCCUUACGUCCGGGGCUACACACGUGUUACAAUGGGGGGUACAGAAGGCGGCUACCUGGUGACAGGAUGCUAAUCCCAAAAACCUCUCUCAGUUCGGAUCGAAGUCUGCAACCCGACUUCGUGAAGCUGGAUUCGCUAGUAAUCGCGCAUCAGCCAUGGCGCGGUGAAUACGUUCCCGGGCCUUGUACACACCGCCCGUCAAGCCAUGAAAGCCGGGGGUACCUGAAGUACGUAACCGCAAGGAGCGUCCUAGGGUAAAACUGGUAAUUGGGGC
rnacentral:rRNA from 1 species